rnacentral:lncRNA from 1 species
AGGCUCAAGAGAACAGGUAACAGAUAUCAAGGCUUAUUUUCCUAUUUCCUUGACCCCAGGGCCUGGCUGGAUGUGGGAGUGACGGGACAAAGUUGGAGUGCUCGUCUAUGGAAUCUGUGCCCUUUGUGUGGAAAACAAUACCUCCAGGCCUUGGCCCCUCCCUGUGAUGGGUGAGGAACUCGGCUUAUUCCUGGGGACAGAGGCCUGCCACCAGAGAGGCCAUAGGCUGGAGCAAGGGCUGACUCACAGGGUAGCGAGGAAACGGCCUGGAUCUUUGACCAGGGCCACCCCUCCUAAGCAAUCGCGUUAUGGAUGGGUCCCCAACUCAUACAAAAGUAUCAUAAAACAUUGGGGAGGCUUGUAACACUGCCCUUUAAAGAAAGGAGAGAGCCGACCAUGGAGGUGCCCCUGCAGCAGCCUUGACGAACUCCUAGCACUUGCCCCAAUUUCCAUCUCCUAGAGUGCUGUGCCUGAAAGUCAGUGGCCACGGUGUGAGCGUGUGCACAGCAGGACAGACAGAUGUGAAGACUACAGGGGGCUCUGGGUAGAGUUUAAAUGUGGGCAAAAGACUUCUUGCUGAGCAGUUCACGCUGAAAGGAAUUUAGUGUGUCCCUUGGUGAGUAGCCUGGGAGGGUAGCUGGAGAUCUACCACUGCAGUGCUUCUCCAAAAAUUGCUUUCAGGUUUUACAGUAACAUGGAUGCUAUUUUGACGGCCAAGUUUUUGAUGAACAAAGCAGUAAAACCACAAGAAGUACUUACAUUUUCAUCAUGCAAGAGGAAAGAAAAAUUUGGAUCUCUGAGGUUUCUAAUAAACCAGAAAAAAAACCCA